UUCUCGAGGUAUGACCAAAGAUUUACAAAAAAUUUCAACCCCAUCGAUCUACGAUUACUUAACAAUUCUUCAUCUUAUAGAUCGCUCAAAAAAUAACAUCUUGAAAUGCCGCCUUAAGGGAGCUUCCGGCGAAACACAAAAAUUUCUAGAACGCUGAAAACGAGCGAUCGAGAAAGCGACAGGGCAGCAGCCAGUUUCUUGUACUACUGCUCAGAAAUGACUGAGGUAACGAACGGUCGGCAGUCUAAUUACUUAAGCGAAGUAGUCUCGUUGUCAGUGGCAGGAAAGAGGCAUUCAGGAACCCACUUCUCGCUCUCUCGACCCUCGUUCCGCUUCUCGACUUCUCUCUGUCUCGCACCAUUGCACGGUUUCCAUUUAAGGAACAACCUCCCCCUCUUCUCAACAGCUGUAGGCGUCUCGAGGGGUAAAACCAAUAACGCUAAGACGUCCUCGAGAGAGUCGAAUGAGGGUAGUAUGAUAGGAUAAGGGAAAAUUAGUCACUGUGUGACAGUCCGUUACAGUUAAUUUCCAUUACAUAUUCACUUGUACAUAUGAUUAUUUCAAGUUUAAGUGUUUUACAAUUUUUAAUUUAGCAUUGCGUGGUACGCAAUUUCAGUCUGCUAGCGUGCUUUUACCGUUACAAAACGGAAUUGUUCUUUGAUAAACAAUUCAGUCUAAGAAUUUAUGAAUUGAAGGACAAGUGAGCAUCAUACAAAUCUUGCCUCUGUGUCACCUGAUAGUCAUCUUUCCAAUUACUCAUGCUACAAGAAAUAGCCAUUGAACUCUGCUUCGCUUAUUUCAUUUGUGUGGAAGAAAAAUAUACUAGCGGAUAAAAUGGAUUAUAAUAUAAAUCACAGAAGAAACAAGAUAAGGUUCGUAGGGACGCGUCUUCAACUAUUCGCUUCUUGCUGAGAAUUUUACCGAUGUAAUUCAAUUGACGGAAAAACUCGUCGGAUCGAGAACAAUUAAACCGCUUCAUCAUUGUCCUGUCAUCCAGGCGACGAAGCCGGGAGCGUUUUGUCGCUGAAGGACGACUAGUCGUUUCGUACCAUCAUCCACUCGAUUCCAUCCUCGAAACGCAGCUACACCAAUACAUGUAUCCCUAUGUGUCUCGCCCCUACCUCUCGCAGAAAGAACAGAGUUUCCCCUGAACCAGCGUUCAGCCUUUGCGUAACAAAUCGUAGAAACCGUCGGGAUCGUUCUCUUUCAGUUUUGCUGGUUGGCUCUCCAGUCACGUUGCUUUUAAUUGUAGCUGGUAUCGGCGGUGAGCCAGUCGAGAGACGAGAGGGGCCUGGCCUACGCUUCGAAUUGGUUUGGAGGCAAUCGGUGGAUUGUCACGGGAUUCCGAAGAUUGGCGGAAAAAGUGGGAGAAAGAUGGAACGUGUAAAUAGUUCGUCUUGCAUCGACAACCUCUGCUGACGAAUUUAGCGAAAUCAUCUUCUCUCCGAGUGACUAAAAACGAUCGAUUCGCUGGAUCAUUCGGCCAUCUCACCGUGAUUCAAACAUAUAUCCUAAUGUUCUUGCAAAGGGAGUGCCACGUUUUUGUCAAGAGUUUAUGCUCUUGGUCGAUCAAGGGAAGAAAAAGAAGGUACCAGCUUGAGAAACGCCCCUCGCGUUUCUUUCGUGUCAUUCGAGGAUAUUUGCAGAGGCCGUCGCAUGGUCGGCCGUAUUGGAAACAUUACUGAACGUCUUUGAGAGUUUACGAGUUAGAUACUCGAUGCAGGGAUCGUGCCAAGAAAGGAGACCGUUUCCAACGGAUUCUUAGAAGCGAGCGUAAGAGGAACGCCGCGCUGGGAUCAAGUCCUCAUAAAUUUAUCGAUCGUUCUUGCAAAACCCCGCAGAGAGCGGCGUGAACCGAUGAGGACAGCGUUUCAGGACUUUUUCCUGUUCCCAAGGUGAAUAGAAAGUAAUCAACUAUCUCGCGUGAAACGAAAUUCGUGAAAUGUUGCUUAAACAAUACUUAAACUCUACAUGUCGUCGCUCUAUCUCAUUGACUCAUUUACAUAAUUCUAUCACUUGUAUAGGG